CUUGGGAUGAAUUAUAUCCAUCUCUUCUGAGACUACCUCAUCAUCAAUCUUCCCAUUUUUUCUAUCAUCAUUUUAAUCAGUACCUGCUUGCCUCCGGCUCCUCUUCCUCUAUAGGCUUGCAUCCAGGCUCUGUGCAUUGCACGGUGAUCCUACCCGCAUGCUUAAGAGGAUCACUUCCUCUUUUUCCCAUCCCUCCUUCCAUCUAUCUGGGAUUCUCCAUCUGGGACUUUGAGCCAAUCACGGCCAAUCAUUCAGGUUUUUUUAGUCCACUUUUACAGACUACUGCCCCCCAUUGGUUCCUGACGAAGCCCCCUUGGGCGAAACUAGUAGAACCGUUACAUGUGGGAUGAAAUGAAGAUCACCUGCAUCUAUAUGCACUUGAAGUAUC